rnacentral:rRNA from 1 species
GAUGAACGCUGGCGGCGUGCCUAAUACAUGCAAGUCGAGCGAACAGACGAGGAGCUUGCUCCUCUGACGUUAGCGGCGGACGGGUGAGUAACACGUGUAUCACCUGCCUAUCAGACUGGGAUAACUUCGGGAAACCGGAGCUAAUACCGUAUAAUCUAUUGAACCGCAUGGUUCAAUAGUGAAAGACGGUUUUGCUGUCACUUCUAGAUGGAUCCGCGCCGCAUUAUCUAGUUGGUAAGGUAACGGCUUACCAAGGCGACGAUGCGUAGCCGACCUGAGAGGGUGAUAGGCCACACGGGAACUGAGACACGGGCCAGAGUCCUACGGGAGGCAGCAGUAGGGAAUCUUCCGCAAUGGGCGAAAGCCUGACGGAGCAACGCCGCGUGAGUGAUGAAGGUCUUCGGAUCGUAAAACUCUGUUAUUAGGGAAGAACAAAUGUGUAAGUAACUAUGCACGUCUUGACGGUACCUAAUCAGAAAGCCACGGCUAACUACGUG